AUUUUACAUAAAUGAAAAUGUCGCGUUUUAAACGAAGCAAUUUAAAAUCCCCACAAGUUAGUAUAUUAAUCGUAUAAUUGGGAAGUACCAAUUUACUCGCUAUGAAUGUUACACCCACGUAUAACUUUUUGCAUACACGUGAAUCAAUAAGUAAACAUAAAAACACAUGUAAUAUCGUGUUCGAUUUUCGUUUACAUUCUACGAAACAUUCGUCGACUGGUUUAUAAAAAUGUUUUCAAUCAUGACUAUAUUAUGCACUAUGUAGUGCUUGACUAAAAUAGAAGACUAACUACAGAGGCUUCAAAAUUAUUCACCAUUGCCGAUGAUUGAACUCAACCUAACUUGUGGGAGAAAAAAACCACAAC